UCUGUAAAAGCCAUGUCUGUAGGUCUCUGUGGUUCACUCUCUCUUUGUGUAUUGACCUCUCUUUUGUUUGAGCACCUCCAUAGCACUUUGUCAUCACCUAUGAAGGCUUCUCUGCCCAACCUAUCAGUAGGAACUAAGGAUUAUCUGUGCCCUGGAGACUUCAUGGUGGUAAAAGACUACAGAAGGAUGGAUCCUCAUUGAAGAGGACCAUAUCAGGUUUAGCUAUUUGGUCUGUCUGGAUCUGCACCAUUGUAUUGAUUGGAACAGUUGGUUGCCCUCCAGUGGGUGGCCGUUUAGGUGAAGAUGAAAGUCUCGAGCUAAAGGAAACGCCGCAGACCCGAAGUCGUGGUCCAGAAGGAGGUGUCAGCCGAAUGAAAAGAGAAGUAAAAAGUCAAGAUGAGGGAGGGAAUCUGUUCCACUCUCCAGCUGAAAUGGUGACAAAUGGCACCUCAUAAGACUUAUUAUUGGGUAUGUGUGUUGGGUCCUGUGGAAGUAGGUUAGGGUCUCCCAUAUGUAGGGGUUCCCUUGGGGGUGAACUUAUCUAUUUCACUGUCCCCAAAUACUGUCAUUGGCUACUUACCCCCCCAAGGGAUCCCAACCCUAUGACUUAUUUAGCAACCUGCAAUGCUUAUUUUAGCCUUGCAUGUCCUAAGCCAGACAAUUGCAGUGUCCCACCCAUCCCUAUAGUAGGAUCCCUGGUAGCCCUGGUAGCCCUGGUGUAUUAGAGGAAAUUAGAGUAACCAUUUGGGUGAACAUUUUUGUAACUGUACUAUGUUGGUUAAUGGUAGCAAUAACUGCUCUCUUGUAAUAUAUGAUUCUGUUACAGGAGCACAAUUUCUGUCUUUAAGUCUCUAUCACUGAAAGGAGACCCAAAUGGUACCUAUUGGUUGUGUGGUCGAUUUGCUUAUUAAAAGUGAACCACCUAAUUGGGGAGGGACGUGUACUCUUGGGUUUGUGGUGCCGGCCACGAGAGUUCUUGGAAACACUGAAACAGAAUUGGGGGUUCUGUUCAGGGACUGUUCAGGGACUGUUCAGCCGACUCUUAUCUUAAUAAGCGAUCCCUUGCAGAUGUCACUCAGGUGCAGACCUUCUUCUCCCGAUUCGCUGGUGUUUUGCUGUCCCAAUAUGGAGUUGCAUGUGCCUUUUUAAUGAAAUUUGAGAUUUGGCUAUUAACGUUGAGGAAAUGGGAUAUACUACUAGAGACACCUUUGGUUGCUCUGAAUGAGAAAGUAAAAGCACUCUGCAAGGUGGCCCUGCAAAACAGGGAGGCACUUGACUACUUAUUGGCUGGUCAUGGGGGUACUUGUGCACUCAUUGAUCGAUUGCUACACGUUUGUCCCAGAUGUGUUAUCAAAUGUGACUGAUCUUGCUAACUAUAUUGCCUAUGAUGCAAAGUCUCAUUCUGGGGAAUCAGAGUGGGUGUUUACUGGUUGGCAGAAAGUCCUCUUUGGAGCUUGGGGCUCCCAGAUAGCUCAUUGGGUGAUAGUUGGAAUCUUUUGUUUAAUGUGUUUGAUCAUUUUGCUUUCUUGUUGUAAGGUCAUUUGUACUUCCCUGGCAACUCAAGUCUCAGCAACUAUCAUGUUCAAGGCUACUAAAGAAGGUGAUACUGAUAACUUGCUGUCUCUCCAGGAACUCCCCUUUCCCCCUAUAAUAUGCCAGAAUGAGUUAGUAUCCAUGUUUGAUUAAGUACCUGAAGGUUUGAAGUUAUGUCAUUAAACGACAGCAACCAUAUAAUGUAAAAAAGGUAAAGAUGGACUUUUGCCUAUUGUUAUGCCUCUUGUAUGUAACAAUCAGUAUUUACUAAAUGCAUUCCUGUUGGUAGACUGAAUGUAUGUUAAGAAGUCAAAUACAUCUCUGUUAUCACAUAUGGUGAUAAAAGGAGGGAGUGUAGUGGACAUUUUUUGUCUCCUG